GGGGUUGUGGCUCAGAGGUAGAGUGCUCGCCUAGCAUGUGUGAGGCACUGGGUUUGAUCCUCAGCACCACA
rnacentral:tRNA from 1 species